UAUACGUUACGUAUAUAUUUAUAAAUUUUUAGCAGUAUUGACAGUGAAUUUUGAAACACAGCCAAAAUUUACCUAGUGACAGUGAUUAUCGUGUGAGCACUCACUUGUUCGAUGUUUUCUAAACGUAUAUUACGUGACUGUGAUAUUCAACUUUUUUCGUCCUUCCCGCCUUGGCUUCGCUAUCUCCGAAGGCUGUGCAUACAUACUCGAAGAGUAUCUGUUAUGUAUACAGUGGAAGCAGAGGAAUAAACAGACUUUACAUAACAUUAAACAUCUAACACAUCAUUGUGUUCGGGAAAGUCGACAUUUCACAUUGGCACUCAAUAUUGAAGAUAAGGUGCCUCUAAAAUAGGAGGAUAUUGUCAAACAACUAAAGAAGCAGAAAAAC